rnacentral:rRNA from 1 species
UACGAAGGGGGCUAGCGUUGUUCGGAAUCACUGGGCGUAAAGCGCACGUAGGCGGCUUUUUAAGUCAGGGGUGAAAUCCCGGGGCUCAACCUCGGAACUGCCUUUGAUACUGGAGAUCUUGAGUCCGGAAGAGGUAAGUGGAACUGCGAGUGUAGAGGUGAAAUUCGUAGAUAUUCGCAAGAACACCAGUGGCGAAGGCGGCUUACUGGUCCGGAACUGACGCUGAUGUGCGAAAGCGUGGGGAGCAAACAGG